AACGCGAAGAACCUUACCUACUCUUGACAUCCAGAGAACUUAGCAGAGAUGCUUUGGUGCCUUCGGGAACUCUGAGACAGGUGCUGCAUGGCUGUCGUCAGCUCGUGUUGUGAAAUGUUGGGUUAAGUCCCGCAACGAGCGCAACCCUUAUCCUUGUUUGCCAGCGAGUAAUGUCGGGAACUCCAGGGAGACUGCCGGUGAUAAACCGGAGGAAGGUGGGGACGACGUCAAGUCAUCAUGGCCCUUACGAGUAGGGCUACACACGUGCUACAAUGGCGCAUACAGAGGGCGGCCAACUUGCGAAAGUGAGCGAAUCCCAAAAAGUGCGUCGUAGUCCGGAUUGGAGUCUGCAACUCGACUCCAUGAAGUCGGAAUCGCUAGUAAUCGUGAAUCAGAAUGUCGCGGUGAAUACGUUCCCGGGUCUUGUACACACCG
rnacentral:rRNA from 1 species